rnacentral:rRNA from 1 species
GACGAACCGAGCGAACGUUGUUCGGAAUCACUGGGCUUAAAGGGCGCGUAGGCGGGCAUCAUAGUCUGUGGUGAAAUCCGGCAGCUUAACUGUCGAAUUGCCAUGGAUACUGGGUGUCUCGAGGGAGGCAGGGGUGCGCGGAACUAAUGGUGGAGCGGUGAAAUGCGUUGAUAUCAUUAGGAACUCCGGUGGCGAAGGCGGCGCACUGGUCCUUUUCUGACGCUGAGGCGCGAAAGCCAGGGGAGCAAACGGGG